rnacentral:lncRNA from 7 species
GACAAGUGAGCACAAGACUGUAUUCUCUUCUAGCCUAGGGGAAUGCUGUGGUUUGGCUGGAGGAGUCUCCCAAUCCUCAGGUGAGUUUCCUAAACCAUGCAGUCAUGUUUCCACAUACACACUCUUUCUACUUAAGGCUUAAUCAUUCCAUACCAUUUCGGACCGUUUUACCACAAAGAGAUGAGGCAAACCUGGACCGCAAAACCCAAUAACUGAGUACUGAAGAAUUCUCACUCAAAGUGGGAGACGUAUAUUUAAGUUGCUUCACACAAAAGGAAGAUUUCUUCAGUGAGUGCUGUAGUAACAACAUUGUUUGGAAAAAAAAUGGGAAUGGAGAAAACUACUCUGCUUUGUAGGAACUUGUUUAUUUCUGUAAGUUCCCAAAUCUUCCCCAGAAUUGAAAGCUAAGGCUUUCAAUUUUCAAUAGACUCUUCCAAUAGAAAACACAUAAAACACCUUCAGAAGAAGGCACACAAAGCUGUCAGCACGGAGUGUUAUGACAUCCCCUAUUCUUCUGUAGUUACAGCCUUCAAUCCACUGACCAUUUCAUCUUUAUUUAAAUAUAUGUCCCCUUCUUUGUAUCUUAAAAAAAAAAAAAAUAGUAAAUCUAUAUAGCUUGAAUUAAGAAGUGUCAGGACUGAUUAGUGAUAUCUGGACUAAAUAUGCAAAUUGCAAAGUUUUCUUCAUGGUUUUAUACGAGAAGAUGUUUUUAAAACUUUAUCAAUGUCAAUGUGUCAGCCUGCAUUUCUCUGUGAAAUCUUGAAACUGCUCUUUCAUCUGUGUUGUAAACACAUCAACAAGUAUGUAGAAUGUCUUGACUUUGAAAUGCUGUCACCUACUUUCUGUACCGUUGUCAGUAGUCAGCUUGUUAUAAAAGUGUUUCAUUUCUAACUCUGUUUCUUUUGGUACUGUGUCGACAUACUGCAUUUUUCAACAGUGUUCUUUGCUGCCUCUUCCAUUUUUAUCAAUAAAUGUAGUUUGACAGAAGUUCUUCUCUUUCUUUGCAACGUGUUGAUAUCUCUGGCUCUCCACUGUCACCGAAGCUGUUGUGUUACUUUGAGGCUAAGCUGAGUGCGUGUAAACCAUCUUCAACAUUUUGUGCCAAAGUACAGAGGGAAUUUGAACUCAAAGGUUUCUGUGAUGGUGAGAAAUCCCUAAGCUUCAGUCACUGCCUUUACUUUUCAGUUGGAACUUUCCCAGAACAUGUUCAGUUUGAUGCAAUACCUGUUCCUGACGGCCUGCAAUAUGGAGUCUGCACUUUGCUUGGAACAAACCCAUCUGGUGAUGGACAAUUUCUUAAACGUGAUUGUCUUCAGGCUUUUAAUUCUGCUGCUUCUCAUAUAAUCUUAUUUUUUUCAGAAGAUAACGUGUCAGAACUGGUGGGAUGGCCUCAAGUGCUGCAGCUUAAAGCUGAGUUAUCUGUACAGCUCACUGCGUAGCAGAAUAGAAAAUGAAAUGGACACAGAAUCACAAACAUAAACUUUUUCAAGUGAAAGAAUCAGACAUACAGAUGGCUAAGUGGCCAGGAUGUCACACCAAGAAUGGAGGUCUCCUUACCUCUAGUCUGUUCCAGAAGCCAUUAUAUAUCAAACUAAAAAAAAUCUCAUUAAACAGAAACUCUCCGGAUG